rnacentral:rRNA from 1 species
UACGUAGGGUGCAAGCGUUGUCCGGAAUCAUUGGGCGUAAAGCGCGUGUAGGCGGCUUGGUAAGUCCGCUCUGAAAGCCCGGGGCUCAACCCCGGGAGGCGGGUGGAUACUGUCAAGCUCGAGUCCGGAAGAGGCGAGUGGAAUUCCUGGUGUAGCGGUGAAAUGCGCAGAUAUCAGGAGGAACACCUGAGGUGAAGACGGGUUGCUGGGCUGACACGUGACGCUGAGGCGCGAAAGCCAGGGGAGCAAACAGG